UGUCAAGGGAUGGGAAUCGAACCCACAACCUUCCGCUUACCGGGCAGAAUCAAUGACCACUAGGCUACCCUGGAC